rnacentral:tRNA from 1 species
GCCGACGUGGUGGAAUGGUAGACACAGUAGACUCAGAAUCUACCCUAGGCUACUAGGUGCUGGUUCGACUCCGGUCGUCGGCA